CACGUAGGGCGCAAGCGUUGUCCGGAAUUAUUGGGCGUAAAGAGCUCGUAGGCGGUCUGUCGCGUCUGGUGUGAAAAUCCAGGGCUUAACCCUGGACCUGCAUCGGGUACGGGCAGACUAGAGUGCGGUAGGGGAGAUCGGAAUUCCUGGUGUAGCGGUGAAAUGCGCAGAUAUCAGGAGGAACACCGGUGGCGAAGGCGGAUCUCUGGGCCGUAACUGACGCUGAGGAGCGAAGCAUGGGGAGCGAACAGG
rnacentral:rRNA from 1 species